rnacentral:rRNA from 1 species
AGCUCCAAUAGCGUAUAUUAAAGUUGUUGCGGUUAAAAAGCUCGUAGUUGGAUUUCUGUCGAGUUCGGUCGGUCACUACUAUGUAGUUGCAUCUGAUUCGGGCUUGGCAUCCUCCUGGGGAUGGUUUCUGUGCUUGAUUGCAUGGGGCUAGAUUCAGGACUUUUACUUUGAGGAAAUUAGAGUGUUCACGGCAAGCUAUCGCUUUGAAUAUAUUAGCAUGGAAUAAUAAUAUAGGGCGUAAGUUCUAUUUUGUUGGUUUCUAGGACAUACGCAAUGAUUAAUAGGGACAAUUGGGGGCAUUCGUAUUAACACGUCAGAGGUGGAAUUCUUAGAUUGUGUUACGACGAACUACUGCGAAAGCAUUUGCCAAGGAUGUUUUCA